rnacentral:rRNA from 1 species
GACUAUCACAACUUUCAACAACGGAUCUCUUGGUUCUGGCAUCGAUGAAGAACGCAGCGAAAUGCGAUAAGUAGUGUGAAUUGCAGAAUUCAGUGAAUCAUCGAAUUUUUGAACGCACAUUGCGCCCCUUGGUAUUCCUUGGGGCAUGCCUGUUCGAGCGUCAUUU